ensembl:lncRNA
CUGGGAAAGGCCAGAACCAGAGCAGCGGACCUAAACUGGCCAAAGGGAUAUUCCAUACCAUAUAGCAUCAUACAGAAAAACUAUAAAACUAAGGGGAGUUGGCUGAGAGGGGCAUCUGAUGCUCAGGGCCUGGCUGGGCAUAGAUGGCAGUUGGUGAGCAACUGUGUUGUGCAUCACUUAUUUUGUAAAUAUUAGAUAUAUUAUCAUUACUAUUAUUUCAGUUUUCCUUCUCUGUCUUAGUAAAUGUUUUUUAUCUCAACCUCUGAGUUCUUUUCUUUUUUUUUUUUUUUCCAGUUCUCUCCUGCAUCCCACUGGGAGGUGGGGAGUGAACUAAAGUUCACUAAACUGUAAAGCCCAGCUGCCUGUUGGGUUAAACCGGAAUAGGCUCACAUAGUAUCUAAGUUCAUUUCUUACAAGUUCAGAAUUAUCUGCUGAAUAGCAUGUGAGUGGAAGGCAGGACACUGCAGGAUGAUAAACAGACAUGAUCUGAAAAGAAAAGAAAAGAAAAGAAAAGAAAAGAAAAGAAAAGAAAAGAAAAGAAAAGAAAAGAAAAGAAAAGAAAAGAAAAGAAAAGAAAAGAAGAAGAAGAAGAAGAAAAAAAAAGGGCCAUUCUGAAUAGAACAAAUUUGAAAAAUACUGCUGAAAUUCGAAUACAUCAAAGAUGAAAUCAAAAACCUCCAAAAGAAAGGCUUAUCAUCAUUGUGUGCUGAAUCACACUAUAAACAUGGACUUUGAAACAUCUUUUUCUGAAACUUAGAGGGACUCAGAGCAGCACAAGUAUUUUGUCUCAGUGGAAAUUAUGGAACUGCAGGUUAAGCAGCUCUAUGAAGUUCUGGAUCCCUUCUGAAAACCAGCUCCCAGAAGAUGAAUACUGUCAGCAUAACAAAGUUUCUUCAGAUAAUUUACAAUUACAGUGAAUUAGAGUUAGAGACACUGGAGUUCAUCAUAUAUAUACAUAUUUAUGUAUGUAUGUAUAUGUGAGUCUGUGUUUAGUGUCUUUUCUAAAAAUGUUUGUUCUUUCACUGACAGCUCUUAUUUUAAAAUCACUCACAAUAAAUAAUAGCCAUUUAUUACAGUGGAGGCCUAGAUCCUGAAAGUCUCAUUCAGUUAAAUCUCAUUCACUAUUUUAAAUAUUGCUUCAGUCCACAUGCUUUCCUCCACUUCCUUCUUCAUCAUCACUGCAGACAACAAUCACCAUGAAUGUUUUUUAUACAUAAUGGGGUUUUUUUAAUAUUAUUUUGAAUUAUUACAGAAUAAGCAUACCUCCCUCCAAUGUUGUCAGCAUGCUUUCCUUACAUCUCUACUCAAGCAUAGGGGAUUCUCACCACCAUAAUGUUCCCUUUAAGAGAUGAAAUGCAGAUUGCCACCUAAAAGCCAGAGCCAUUUUCAAGGGCUGCAUCUGCUAACUCUUUGUUAAACGCUGUCCCUAAAAAAGACCAAAGGAUCUCCUAAGGAAAUUUCCUACAUAGAAACCAUGCUAAUCAUGCUCUAGACAUCAUUAAGCUUGAUUAUGGACUUAUAUAAUUAAUAAAUUAAAAUACAACAUAGCAUGAUGAUAUGUCAAAUGCUUAUUUUGUUCAAUGCCAACAGAUGUGGAGAUUAAAGGUAUACACACAUUUUGGGAAGAUGAACUGGCAGACAUGCACACAAUAUUCGACUUUACAGGUAGCUAUUUGAUUUUUUGGCAUGCCAAAAAUUUUCUUCUGUUGUCUCCAGUAAUGAGGCUUAUUACUGGAGCUCUUAGCAUCAGGCCUUUGCUUCUGAGAAGAUCCUGCCCAUGCACCAGUUGUAGAACAUGCUUGAAAAUAGAGAAGUUGCAGGAAAAAAAAAGGGUGUAGACAUGAUAUUAAGAGAUGUAGGCAGCAGAUCAGUGUCUGAACAAAGCAAUAAAGCUGGAUUGGCAAGGUGAAGAUGUACUUGACAUUGAUCUCCUGCCAAAAUUUUGACGUGGCAUAGGAUCAACACUGAACAAGGUCAUGAAGCAACUUGAAUUUUAUCGACAUGAAUCUUAACCAGGCAGGGACAACAGGUCUCCUUCAGAUGAAUUAUAAUUGACUUUGAAAAUUGGAAGAAUAACUAGGUUCAGAAGAUGACAUGAAACAUUUAACCUUUUAAUUGCUGAUUAGAACUUGCCGCAGAGGUGAUCAAAUUCCAUUAUCUUCAGAAGUUUCUGAAAAGAGCUUUUGUGAUUUAUUUUGUUGCAGACCGACUGGAUAUAUUUCCGUAUAAGUUAGUUUCCGAAUUAUCAAGCCAGCAAGCAUUUACUCUAAUUAUUUAUUCAUUCCCGGAGAACUUCUACAUCACUGUUUGCACUGAAUAUGAAUAAUCUUGUGAUUGUUUGAUUAAGAUGUAGCUGCAUGUGGAAAUCAAUGAUACUGUAAGAUACAGUCAUGGAACAGCAGCCAAACAGUUCCUGUGAAUUUGUUUUGGGAGUCUAAAAAAAAAAAAAAAAAGUAAAACAACAAUACCUUAUGCACAAUUUUGAAUGAUAAUUAUGUAAUUAUGUAGUAUAUUGCAUGUCCACAUCCUAGAAAUCACAUUGAAGCAGCAUCCAUUUUACAUCUGUAAGUAGAUUUACAUCAGUGGAAUUAAAAUUUUCCAAUGUUGCACUCAUGUUAAUAAACAAACACCAUUUAGUUACUGAGCACUACAAUUUUAAAAGAGAUUACAUCACCUCAAAGUGUAAAUCCCUCUGAUUGUCAUCCAGACUUAAUAACCUCAGUAACCCAGACAAUCCCAUGAUCUAGCAUUAAAUUCAUGUCAAAUCAUAAGCAAACAUAAGACAGCAAAUAUUAUAAAGAUAUAUUAAAUCUUCCCCAGUCAGCAAAUAAAUCUCUAUCAUCUUCAAAAAGGCCUGUUUUCAAAUGUAAAUACUGCAAUUGUGUCACUGUUGACAGGAAGAAGGCAAAUGAUCAGUCAGUCUACUUACUAAUUACGUUUAUUUUUACAAUGCAAUUAUAGAUUACAAUUCUGUGUUGAAUGAAAUUAGAAAGCAUUAUAAGUAUCACCAUGGUAAAACUAAAAUAGGUCUUUUCAGCCAAUUACAUUUUUCCAUGUAAGAAAUUUUGAUUUCAACAGCUCAUUUUAUAGAAUUGAGAGAUCACAAGAAUGAAUGCUGUUUUUCUGAUAUCCACAUGCGCUACUACGUUAUUGAUUUUAUUGACAACAAAGAAACCCUACGGUUUAUAAGCUCACAUACAGCAUUUUGCUUUUUGCAGAGAUAACAAUUUUCUUUCUUCUUGAAAGCAUCAGUAAGGUCCUAAAAUAUUACAGGAAAUAAGUUGCUUGUUACACCUAAAAGCAUACGGCCUAACAGAAAUUCUCAAAACAAGGUUGUGGGGAAAAUGCAGUGUUGCAUAUAUUCUUUCCUUUGGCAUUACCACAGUUUUAGAUUUUCCUGCCCAAGCAAAAUUUCCUGCAUUGUUAGCUCAGAUAACCAGAGGAUGUACUUUGAUUUGCUUUCUAAUCCAGUUUUUAAUUAAUGUAAAACCUUUUGAGGAGAGAUCUUCUGUGUUUGUUUUCAUCCUGAAGUUUAACAUUUCAGAAAAGAUCAGGGAUCACAUAUCCUACCUUUUUUUUUUUUUUUUUUUUUCUGUU